GACGUAGGGGGCGAGCGUUGUCCGGAAUUACUGGGCGUAAAGAGCACGUAGGCGGAUGCUUAAGUCAGGUGUGAAAGACCGCAGCUUAACUGCGGGGUUGCACAUGAAACUGGGUAUCUUGAGGGCAGGAGAGGUCAGUAGAAUUCCUGGUGUAGCGGUGAAAUGCGUAGAAAUCAGGAGGAAUACCAGUGGCGAAGGCGGCUGACUGGACUGACCCUGACGCUGAGGUGCGAAAGCGUGGGUAGCAAACAGGAUUAGAUACCCUGGUAGUCCACGCUGUAAACGAUGGAUACUAGGUGUAGGAGGUAUCGACCCCUUCUGUGCCGCAGCUAACGCAAUAAGUAUCCCGCCUGGGGAGUACGGUCGCAAGGCUGAA
rnacentral:rRNA from 1 species